UACGAAGGGGGCUAGCGUUGCUCGGAAUUACUGGGCGUAAAGGGCGCGUAGGCGGACAGUUUAGUCAGAGGUGAAAGCCCAGGGCUCAACCUUGGAAUUGCCUUUGAUACUGGCUGUCUUGAGUUCGGGAGAGGUGAGUGGAAUGCCGAGUGUAGAGGUGAAAUUCGUAGAUAUUCGGCGGAACACCAGUGGCGAAGGCGACUCACUGGACGAUUGUUGACGCUGAGGUGCGAAAGCGUGGGGAGCAAACAGG
rnacentral:rRNA from 1 species